AAUCUUUCUCAGCCUUUUGGCUUAGGUCAAGUGUAGUAUCUGUUCUCAUCAGUGGCUAAGGCAGGGUAGCUGAGACAAAAUGGAUCUACACAUGGAGUGGAAGCUUUAGGUGUACAGAGGCUUGUCUGACAGCUACCUCAAGGCAACCUGACCCUUUGGAUCUGGUCAUUGGGUGCAGGUAGG